CCCUUCGGGGACAAAGUGACAGGUGGUGCAUGGUUGUCGUCAGCUCGUGUCGUGAGAUGUUGGGUUAAGUCCCGCAACGAGCGCAACCCUUAUUGUUAGUUGCCAUCAUUUAGUUGGGCACUCUAGCGAGACUGCCGGUGACAAACCGGAGGAAGGUGGGGAUGACGUCAAAUCAUCAUGCCCCUUAUGACCUGGGCUACACACGUGCUACAAUGGGAAGUACAACGAGUCGCUAGACCGCGAGGUCAUGCAAAUCUCUUAAAGCUUCUCUCAGUUCGGAUUGCAGGCUGCAACUCGCCUGCAUGAAGCCGGAAUCGCUAGUAAUCGCGGAUCAGCACGCCGCGGUGAAUACGUUCCCGGGCCUUGUACACACCGCCCGUCACACCACGAGAGUUUGUAACACCCGAAGUCGGUGAGGUAACCUUUUUGGAGCCAGCCGCCUAAGGUGGGAUAGAUGAUUGGGGUGAAGUCGUAACAAGGUAGCCGUAUCGGAAGGUGCGGCUGGAUCACCUCCUUUCUAAGGAA
rnacentral:rRNA from 1 species